CGCCUCUUGCUUCAGUGAAUAAGAGGUCACGCCUGCCCUGUGACUAUAUGUUUAACGGCCGCGGUAUUUUGACCGUGCAAAGGUAGCGCAAUCACUUGUCCUUUAAAUGUGGACCUGUAUGAAUGGCAUAACGAGGGCUUAGCUGUCUCCUUUCUCAAGUCAAUGAACUUGAUCUCCCCGUGCAGAAGCGGGGAUAAAACCAUAAGACGAGAAGACCCUAUGGAGCUUUAGACAAAAAACAGCCCCUGUCAAUAAACCCUAAAUAAAGGAAAUAAACCUAGUGACCCUGUUUUAAUGUCUUUGGUUGGGGCGACCGCGGGGUAACAAAAAACCCCCAUGUGGAAUGAAAACACCCUUUUUAAAACCAAGAGUCACCACUCUAAGUUACAGAACAUCUGACCAAUAAUGAUCCGGCUAAAGCCGAUUAACGAACCGAGUUACCCUAGGGAUAACAGCGCAAUCCUCUUUUAGAGUCCAUAUCGACAAGAGGGUUUACGACCUCGAUGUUGGAUCAGGACAUCCCAAUGGUGCAGCCGCUAUUAAAGGUUCGUUUGUUCAACGAUUAAAGUCCU
rnacentral:rRNA from 1 species